rnacentral:lncRNA from 10 species
CUCACAGGCCAAUUUUUUUUCUUUUAGAGACAGGGUCUCACUUUGUCACCCAAGCUGGAGUGCAGUGGUGCGAUUAUAGCUCAAUGCAGCCUCCAAUUCCUGGACUCAAGGGACCCUCCUGCCUCAGCCUGCCAAGUAGCUUGGACUAUAGCUGUGUGUUUUCUUAUUAUUUUGUAGACAUGGGGUCUGGCUAUGUUGUCCAGGCUAUUCUCAAAAUUCCCGGCCUCGAGCAAUCCUCCUGCCUCGGCCUCUCAAAGGUUGGGAUUACAGGUGUGAGGCAAGGCACCCAGCUCAGCCACAGAGCCCUGUUGCAUCUCUCUUACUAGGAGCAAGAGCUGACUGCCCCCUCAUCCCCAUUCCAGAGUGUUGGGGCUGUGUUCAGCCGAGGCCGGGCCACUGGCAUGGCCCAGGGAGCGGGAUCAUUCACUGCUGCCCCAAAUCUGAGAUCAUUCCACCUUGACAAGACUUCCUCAUCCAAUCCCUUUACUUGACAGCUGGGGAAACCAAUGCGCACAGAGCACCCCCAGCUCACUCGGGGUCUCAGAGCUGAUCCAUGAGCAGAGGCUGAGAUCCUGGGAUCUUGUCCCCCAGCC